UACGGGAGGCAGCGGUGGGGAAUAUUGCACAAUGGGCGCAAGCCUGAUGCAGCCAUGCCGCGUGUAUGAAAAAGGCCUUCGGGUUUGUAAAGUACUUUCAGUCGUGAGGAAGGUGUUAAGGUUAAUAACCUUAGCAAUUGACGUUAGCGACAGAAGAAGCACCGGCUAACUCCGUGCCAGCAGCCGCGGUAAUACGGAGGGUGCGAGCGUUAAUCGGAAUUACUGGGCGUAAAGGGCACGCAGGCGGUUAAUUAAGUUGGAUGUGAAAUCCCCGGGCUUAACCUGGGAAUGGCAUUCAAGACUGGUUAGCUAGAGUCUUGUAGAGGGGGUAGAAUUCCAUGUGUAGCGGUGAAAUGCGUAGAGAUGUGGAGGAAUACCGGCGGCGAAGGCGGCCCCUGGACAAAGACUGACGCUCAUGUGCGAAAGCGUGGGGAGCAAACAGGGAUUAGAUACC
rnacentral:rRNA from 1 species